CUACGGGAUGCUCCAGUGAGGAAUUUUGCGCAAUGGGGGAAACCCUGACGCAGCAACGCCGCGUGAGCGAAGAAGGCCCUCGGGUCGUAAAGCUCCGUCAAGUGGGAAAAAAAUCUUUUAAUCAAUAGUUAAAAGACUUGAUGGUACCACUGGAGGAAGCACCGGCUAACUCCGUGCCAGCAGCCGCGGUAAUACGGAGGGUGCAAGCGUUGUUCGGAAUUACUGGGCGUAAAGAGCGUGUAGGCGGUUUGGCAAGUCAGAUGUGAAAGCCCCGGGCUUAACCUGGGAAGUGCAUUUGAAACUGCUUGACUAGAGUAUGGGAGAGGAGAUUGGAAUUCCUGGUGUAGAGGUGAAAUUCGUAGAUAUCAGGAGGAACACCCGUGGCGAAGGCGAUUCUCUGGACCAAUACUGACGCUGAGACGCGAAAGCGUGGGGAGCAAACAGGAUUAGAUACCCGCGUAGUC
rnacentral:rRNA from 1 species